GUGUUUGUUAUGCUUCUUCAGGUGGAAGUUUAAUGUGUUGUUGUUUGUAGGUGGCAUGCGGGGAUAAGUGGAGUUAUUUAGAAAUGUAUUUCACAGUGAAAGAUCGCUGAAGAGCAAGUUCUCCGUUUCAGUCAUUGAGUCGGCGUAAAGUCCCAUGGUUGACUUCUACCUAUAGGAAGUCCUGGCUGAGCAAAGUGGGCAGUCCCAGUUCCCGGAUUGAUCGAACUGUAUUUUCUGAUGAAAAGGAUAUCUCUCAACUUCAGUACAAGGGAUUCAGCACCAGACACUAAAGCAAUGGCGUCUGCAACUGGUGGAUACACAAUUAGCAAAUUGUCACUGAUCUAUAUAAAACAUGAUAUCACAUUGAUAAUCUCUGAAUAACGAACUGAAAAUUCGCACAAAAGUUGUUGUGUUUCUAGUUAUGACCCAUAUUUGCAUAGCAAGUAUUACCCUAGAUUCCAAUGUUUGGCAUGGUGUGAUUAAUCUAAUUGUUCUAAUAAAAGCUUAAUACUGCA